UACGGGGGGUGCGAGCGUUGUCCGGAAUCACUGGGCGUAAAGGGCGCGUAGGUGGCCUGAUAAGGGUGUGGUGAAAGUCCGGGGCUCAACCCCGGAUCUGCCGUGCCGACUGUUGGGCUGGAGUACUGUAGGGGCAGGCGGAAUUCCGGGUGUAGCGGUGGAAUGCGUAGAGAUCCGGAGGAAGACCGGUGGCGAAGGCGGCCUGCUGGGCAGUUACUGACACUGAGGCGCGACAGCGUGGGGAGCAAAUAGG
rnacentral:rRNA from 1 species